AUUGCCUCAGUAACGGCGAGUGAAGCGGCAAGAGCUCAAAUUUGAAAUCUGGCCCCUCCGGGGUCCGAGUUGUAAUUUGCAGAGGAUGCUUCGGGUGCGGCCCCUGUCUAAGUGCCCUGGAACGGGCCGUCAGAGAGGGUGAGAAUCCCGUCUUGGGCAGGGUGCCCGUGCCCGUGUGAAGCUCCUUCGACGAGUCGAGUUGUUUGGGAAUGCAGCUCAAAAUGGGUGGUAAAUUUCAUCUAAAGCUAAAUACCGGCCGGAGACCGAUAGCGCACAAGUAGAGUGAUCGAAAGAUGAAAAGCACUUUGAAAAGAGAGUUAAACAGCACGUGAAAUUGUUGAAAGGGAAGCGCUUGCAACCAGACUCGGCCUCGGGGUUCAGCCAGCAUUCGUGCUGGUGUACUUCCCCGGGGCCGGGCCAGCGUCGGUUUGGGCGGCCGGUCAAAGGCCCCAGGAAUGUAUCGUCCUCCGGGACGUCUUAUAGCCUGGGGUGCAAUGCGGCCAGCCUGGACCGAGGAACGCGCUUCGGCACGGACGCUGGCG
rnacentral:rRNA from 1 species